rnacentral:lncRNA from 1 species
ACCUUACACCGUUGGUUUUCCCUUCGGCUCACCAACAAACCUUUAACCCCUUGAUUCAAUCCCUUGAUUGAAUCAAGUUACAAGAUAUUAAAACAAAGAAUAAAAACAAAUCAAAGCUUCUUAAACAAGCAGAUAUGACAAUAUAAACAAAUAGAGUAAAGAGAAGCCCUCAAACGAGUUUUGAAGAUGGAGGAGCUCGGCUUCUUCUUUACUUGAUCCUCCUCUGAUUUGGCAUGAAGUAGAGGAUCCCCGAGGCAGCACACGGAUGGAGAGGAAGCUUUGGGAUUCACUUGGAUGCUCUUCUUCUCUCUAUUUCACUUUGGAUGGCCCUUUUGUGCUUGUGGGAGAUUUCCUUUGUAAUCUCUUUGAGAUCUCUUUCCUAGAUGAUCUCUCCCACUUCCAUGAG